GGCUCAGGACGAACGCUGGCGGCGUGCCUAACACAUGCAAGUCGAGCGAGGAGAUCCUUCGGGAUGAUCCUAGCGGCGGACGGGUGAGUAACACGUGGGCAACCUGCCUCAUAGAGAGGAAUAGCCUUCCGAAAGGGAGAUUAAUACCUCAUAACAUUGCAGUUUCGCAUGAAACAGCAAUUAAAGGAGCAAUCCGCUAUGAGAUGGGCCCGCGGCGCAUUAGCUAGUUGGUGAGGUAACGGCUCACCAAGGCGACGAUGCGUAGCCGACCUGAGAGGGUGAUCGGCCACAUUGGGACUGAGACACGGCCCAGACUCCUACGGGAGGCAGCAGUGGGGAAUAUUGCACAAUGGGGGAAACCCUGAUGCCAGCAACGCCGCGUGAGUGAUGACGGCCUUCGGGUUGUAAAGCUCUGUCUUCAGGGACGAUAAUGACGGUACCUGAGGAGGAAGCCACGGCUAACUACGUGCCAGCCGCCGC
rnacentral:rRNA from 1 species